rnacentral:rRNA from 1 species
UACGGGGGGGGUAAGCGUUGUUCGGAAUUACUGGGCGUAAAGGGCUCGUAGGCGGCCAACUAAGUCGGACGUGAAAUCCCUCAGCUUAACUGGGGAACUGCGUCCGAUACUGGAUGGCUUGGAUUUGGGAGAGGGAUGCGGAAUUCCAGGUGUAGCGGUGAAAUGCGUAGAUAUCGGGAGGAACAUCAGUGGCGAAGGCGGCUGCCUGGCCCGGUACUGACGCUGAGGUGCGAAAGCGUGGGGAGCAAACAGG